rnacentral:rRNA from 1 species
UACAGAGGGUGCGAGCGUUGUCCGGAAUCACUGGGCGUAAAGGGCGCGUAGGUGGCUCUAUAAGUCGGGGGUGAAAUGCUGCGGCUCAACCGCAGCGCUGCCUCCGAGACUGUAGGGCUCGAGCACGGUAGAGGCCGAUGGAAUUCCCGGUGUAGCGGUGGAAUGCGUAGAGAUCGGGAAGAGCACCAAUGGCGAAGGCAGGUCUCUGGGCAUUAACUGACGCUGAGGAGCGAAAGCAUGGGGAGCGAACAGG